rnacentral:rRNA from 1 species
AUUGAACGCUGGCGGCAGGCCUAACACAUGCAAGUCGAAUGGUAACAGGAAACAGCUUGCUGUUUCGCUGACGAGUGGCGGACGGGUGAGUAAUGUCUGGGAAACUGCCUGAUGGAGGGGGAUAACUACUGGAAACGGUAGCUAAUACCGCAUAACGUCGCAAGACCAAAGAGGGGGACCUUCGGGCCUCUUGCCAUCAGAUGUGCCCAGAUGGGAUUAGCUAGUAGGUGGGGUAACGGCUCACCUAGGCGACGAUCCCUAGCUGGUCUGAGAGGAUGACCAGCCACACGGGAACUGAGACACGGUCCAGACUCCUACGGGAGGCAGCAGUGGGGAAUAUUGCACAAUGGGCGCAAGCCUGAUGCAGCCAUGCCGCGUGUAUGAAGAAGGCCUUCGGGUUGUAAAGUACUUUCAGCGGGGAGGAAGGGAGUAAAGUUAAUACCUUUGCUCAUUGACGUUACCCGCAGAAGAAGCACCGGCUAACUCCGUG